CCGGGCGGCCGCCACACCCACCUUUCUUUUCCUGGGAAUGGGCUCGUCGAAGAGCAGGUUGCUGGCCUCCGACUCGUCGAUGCCGUCGUCCGGCUGCGCGGGGCUGCGGAAGGGCUUGAAGCUGUCGGCCGACAGCGGCGGCGACGGCGUGGACGGGUUGGACUGGUCGCUGGGGGCGCUCCAGCUCCAGUAGCCGCUGCUGCCGGUGCUGGACGGCACGCAGCCCGCCUCCUUCCAGGAUCCGCUGAGGCCCUCUGCGUGCACAGACACGAGGGGGCAAUGGGAACCUUGAUGCUAUUCCAGUCGAACCGCCCGCAGCCCACUCAAUAAUUUGCAACAGCUGGGGAUCUUACAAAGCUCAUUUGCAUGAUCUCAAGUGUGCUCACAACAUCUAUCUCUCAGAGUAAGGAUUAUCACACCCAUUUUACAGCUGAGGCCCCGGAGGCAGCAGGAAGCGACUUGCUGGGUGACUAGAUUCCAUGGAAUUUCUGCAAUUCCUUUUUCCUAGAAUGUUUUGGGGGUGCCUCCAGUUUUGCCUUUUCUGUAAGCCUACUUUAGCAGCGUUGCCAAGCUGAGGAAGGUAAAUCAAAACAUCUGUUUGCCAAGAAGCCUUCAGGAUAGGUCAUCAAACAGGAGUGGUCAGGCUCGCCAAGAGCUCCUCGUCUGGUGCUAUGUGAAGAGGCGGCGUCACCCCAGUUUGUUGGUCAAUCGUGUUGCUGAGUACUACUGAUUCAUGACAACCAUUUGAAUUCCCAGCAUCUUGGUCAUUCUUACCACUUAUAAUGAGGUAGGAGUAAGUUUUGGUGAGGACUCACUGGAUGUUCAAUAAAUGUAUAUUAACAUCUCAUGCUUACAACCAAAUUGUGUGUGAACUGUGGCUCAAUCUCACAAUUGACCACGCCGGUUUUUGAGAGGUUUCCAUUGCUGGGAAGUCUCAUUCAGUUGUCCCAGUGCAUUACAUUUCAGUGAACUGCAAUCUGGCUUCCUUCCAUGGGGAGUCCUUUGUGAAUGCCCUU